rnacentral:rRNA from 1 species
GAUGAACGCUGACAGAAUGCUUAACACAUGCAAGUCUACUUGAAUUUGGGUUUUUUAACUUAGAUUUGGGUGGCGGACGGGUGAGUAACGCGUAAAGAACUUGCCUCACAGCUAGGGACAACAUUUGGAAACGAAUGCUAAUACCUGAUAUUAUGAUUAUAAGGCAUCUUAGAAUUAUGAAAGUUAUAUGCGCUGUGAGAGAGCUUUGCGUCCCAUUAGCUAGUUGGAGAGGUAACGGCUCACCAAGGCGAUGAUGGGUAGCCGGCCUGAGAGGGUGAACGGCCACAAGGGGACUGAGACACGGCCCUUACUCCUACGGGAGGCAGCAGUGGGGAAUAUUGGACAAUGGACCAAGAGUCUGAUCCAGCAAUUCUGUGUGCACGAUGACGUUUUUCGGAAUGUAAAGUGCUUUCAGUUGGGAAGAAAAAAAUGACGGUACCAACAGAAGAAGUGACGGCUAAAUACGUG